rnacentral:tRNA from 1 species
GCCUACUUUAUACAGCGGUUAGAGUAUUGCUUUCAUCCGGCGGGAAUCAUUGGUUCAAAUCCAAUUGUAGGUA